rnacentral:lncRNA from 1 species
CAGGCUGUAGUUGGGGGCUCCCAUCUAUUAAAAAGCCACAGAAAGUCUUUUCAUACUGCCUGAGGAAUUAAUCCCUUAUUUAACGUUCAUAAUUGCUAGAUCGAUUUAACAGGACUGGAGCUAACAUUUGCUUGGAUUUGGCACCAUUGAUAGGGAACUGCCUGCUGUGUCCUCCGCUUUGAAGUCACCCUGGUCUUUGGGCCUCCAGCACCUUCUUCAGCAUGUCCAACCCAUCUAAGAGGCGUAUGAUACUGGUGUUCCACUGGGUUAGGAAGAAGCCCCUGACAGAGAAGCCGUGCUCUACCAUCUCGGCCAGACCUUCUGCCUCUGCACCGGCUUGCAACACUCCUCACAUUUCACCCUACUUCACGAGGAGCAAGACACAACCUGCUCUGCUCAGGAGGUCCAGCAGGCGCAAGGUGCUGCGAUUGCCGAAUCUCACCGACCCCAAGUUUUUAAGAUCUGUCAUUGGCAGCAUUGGCCGGAAGAGAGCCCGCAGGUGUGGCAAGCAAAAGAAGACUCCAGUGAGAACAAGAAAAGGGGUGAGGGCUAGUCUAGAGGCAAGAAGGCUCCCAAGCUAUUUGCGGGGUGGGAUUGCUUUGGAAGAUGCCUUCUCACAAUCUCUACCCUUGAACCACGUAAGGACAUAAGAAGUGCCUGCUGGAUGAGGCCACAUUGGCCUGUCUAGUCCAGCAUCCUGUUCUCACAGUGGCCAACCAGAGGCCUGUGGAAACAAGAGCAUUCUGUAUUCCCUUCCUGCAUCUUCCAGCAACUACUAUUCACAAACGUUACUGCCGCUGACUGUGGAGGUAGAGCAGAGCCAUCGUGCCUAGUGGCCAUUGAUAGCCUUUCCUGCAUAAAACCAUCCAAGUUGGUGGCCGUCACAGCCUUCUGUGGGAUUGAGCUUCCAGAGGGGUAGCUGAGCAUGCCUGCUGCAGGAAAAACAGGCAUUAAAAGCACAUUUCUCCCAAAGAAUCCUGGGAAUUGCAGUUUGUAAAGGGUGCUACAAAUUGUAGCUAUGCGGUAGAAGGGUAAUCUACAGUUCCCAGGAUUCUUACAGGAGAGAAGCGAUAAUGCUUUUAAUGUAUGGUGUGUACACAGCCUGAAAUUAGCUCCACCAGCUCCGUAAUACUAGGGCAAAUAUUAUAAUGCAUGUUGUUGUUGUUGUUGUACUUUUAUAAAUAUUAUAAAACCCAUUCCUGCAAGCCAUGUAGUCUGGAAUAAACCCAGUCACCCCUCCCAUCAUUAAUGGUUUCUACUAGGUGGGGAGGGGUGUUGGAUCUGCUUCCCUGCCUUGAAGAAAAGCGCAGGUCAGGUGUGUGCCCAGACCUGGCCACGCUUCGCAAGAGACAUGUGUUGGUUCAAGGUGGCCACGCUGCCUGCAACUUGCACUCCUUCCUGACGUGUCUUCCCCAAACCCCUUCUUCCAGAGGCUGUGUUGAAGUUUUCCAUCACGUGGAACACAAACUCGCGGAACUACCUCGAGGCUCAGGCAGUGGUGGAAACCCUCCUCAAGCAUGAGACGCCAGAGAGCCUCUUGCAAUACGAAGGGAGCAAAGCAGCUGUGGAGUCUCUCCUA